AGGAUCAGUGGCGGCGGGCCCGCGCGGUGCCGGCGACUAGAAGCGAGAUGUCCUGACCCCUUCCAGGUUUGGACUAACCUCUGGACCUUAGCUGUGUGAGAAUGACAACGGUAUUCUGUGGUGCUGUCCCCACUCAGGUUGGCUGCUAUCCCUACUGAUGGAGAGAGGCUGGAGGCUGUCAGAGAAGAUAGUGCUGAUGCAGAGGCCUCCCAGCCAAGUGUGAAGGGAUGGGCCUUAACCAGGGUUGAAGAAAGAAAGUGAAGCCGCCCAAGGAAAGGUGGGGACAGUUGGGACUUUUGAUCACAUUCUUCUGGUAUCCUUCUCAUGUAUUGUAUGGUAUAAUCUCUAAAUUUCACAUAGUAAUCUGCAGUGUGUAUGCCCUGGCCAAAUGCUGCUUGGCUAAAAAAGUGUUAAAUAAAACUGUAAGAAACGCUA